GAAUUCCUGGACACAAAGGACAGACAGGCGGAAGAGGACAGGCAGAUGGACACUGAGGCUGCUGCAUCUGAAGCCCCCCAGGAUGUGACCUACGCCCAGCUGCACAGCUUGACCCUCAGACGGGAGGCAACUGAGCCUCCUCCAUCCCAGGAAGGGCCCUCUCCAGCUGUGCCCAGCAUCUACGCCACUCUGGCCAUCCACUAGCCCAGGGGGGGACGCAGACCCCACACUCCAUGGAGUCUGGAAUGCAUGGGAGCUGCCCCCCCAGUGGACACCAUUGGACCCCACCCAGCCUGGAUCUACCCCAGGAGACUCUGGGAACUUUUAGGGGUCACUCAAUUCUGCAGUAUAAAUAACUAAUGUCUCUACAAUUUUGAAAUAAAGCAACAGACUUCUCAAUAAUCAAUGAAGUAGCUGAGAAAACUAAGUCAGAAAGUGCAUUAAACUGAAUCACAAUGUAAAUAUUACACAUCAAGCGAUGAAACUGGAAAACUACAAGCCACGAAUGAAUGAAUUAGGAAAGAAAAAAAGUAGGAAAUGAAUGAUCUUGGCUUUCCUAUAAGAAAUUUAGGGCAGGGCACGGUGGCUCACGCCUGUAAUUCCAGCACUUUGGGAGGCCGAGGCGGGCAGAUCACGAGUUCAGGAGAUCGAGACCAUCUUGGCCAACAUGGUGAAACCCUGUCUCUCCUAAAAAUACAAAAAUUAGCUGGAUGUGGUGGCAGUGCCUGUAAUCCCAGCUAUUUGGGAGGCUGAGGCAGGAGAAUCGCUUGAACCAGGGAGUCAGAGGUUUCAGUGAGCCAAGAUCGCACCACUGCUCUCCAGCCUGGCGACAGAGGGAGACUCCAUCUCAAAUUAAAAAAAAAAAAAAAAAAGAAAGAAAAAGAGAAAAAAGAAAUUUAGAAGAAUAACAAGUUAUUCCAAAUGAAGGCGUAAGAAAGGGAAUAAUAACAAUAAUAAGAGGAGUUGUUCAUGAGGAAAAACCAAAGCUUGAAAAUUCAACAAAGCCAGUGAAGCUCAUUCUUGAAAACAUGAAUCACACUCAUGAAUUCUAACUACAAUGAAAAAGAGAAAGAAA